AGGAGAGUUUGAUCCUGGCUCAGGAUGAACGCUAGCGAGAGGCCUAACACAUGCAAGUCGAGGGGUAACAGGGGAGCUUGCUCCCGCUGACGACCGGCGCACGGGUGAGUAACGCGUAUGCAACCUGCCCGCCACAGGGGGAUAGCCUUCCGAAAGGGAGAUUAAGACCGCAUAAGACCACGCCGGGGCAUCCCGGAGGGGUAAAAUAUUCAUAGGUGGCGGCUGGGCAUGCGUGACAUUAGCUAGUUGGCGGGGCAACGGCCCACCAAGGCGACGAUGUCUAGGGGAACUGAGAGGUCGAUCCCCCACACUGGUACUGAGACACGGACCAGACUCCUACGGGAGGCAGCAGUGAGGAAUAUUGGUCAAUGGAGGGAACUCUGAACCAGCCAUCUCGCGUGAAGGAAUACGGCCCUACGGGUCUUAAACUUCUUUUAUAGGGGGAUAAAGUCGUGUACGUGUACAUGAUUGCAGGUACCCUAUGAAUAAGCAUCGGCUAACUCCGUGCCAGCAGCCGCGGUAAUACGGAGGAUGCGAGCGUUAUCCGGAUUUAUUGGGUUUAAAGGGUGCGCAGGCGGCACGUUAAGUCAGCGGUGAAAUGUCGGGGCUCAACCCCGUCACUGCCGUUGAAACUGGCGAGCUCGAGUACGGAUGAAGUGGGCGGAAUGUGAUGUGUAGCGGUGAAAUGCUUAGAUAUGUCACAGAACACCGAUUGCGAAGGCAGCUCACUAAUCCGCAACUGACGCUCAUGCACGAAAGCGUGGGGAUCGAACAGGAUUAGAUACCCUGGUAGUCCCU
rnacentral:rRNA from 1 species